rnacentral:rRNA from 1 species
AUGGUAUAAUAAAAUCGGAGGCCACGACUGUUUACUAAAAACACAAUUCAGAGCAAUGAUUAAGAUAAUAGUAUUCUGAAUGAAAUUUGCUCAAUGCCAUUAAUAUAAAAGAGGUAAUUUUAAAGUUACUAAUUGAAAGUCUGGUUAAUAGCGGUCUUAACUAUGAGGAUCCUAAGGUAGCAAAAUAAAUUGGCCAUUAAAUGUGGUCUAGUAUCAAUAAUGUAACGAUGGUCUCACUGUCUCUACAACUUGCUCAGUGAAAUUGAAUUGCGAGUGCAGAUGCUCGCUAUCUUCAGAGGGACGGGAAGACCCUAUGCAGCUUCUACU